GGGGUCCCUGUUUAUAGAGGGAGCGCGUAACUAAUUGACAGCGACGUCUGUAACCACCUGGUAGUGGGCUGUUCAGAGCCGUCCGGAGUUUGUUAAGGAGAGUAGUGGCGUCAGGGGUCAUUCAGGGCCACAUAGAGUUUGCUACGGAGAGUAGAGUGGUGUCCGUUGUCGCGACUUGUCAGAGAGUAGUGGAGCCACGUAGAAUCCACUGCAGAGAGUGGAG
rnacentral:lncRNA from 1 species